rnacentral:misc_RNA from 1 species
UUCAAGCUUGUUUUAACAGGGUUCAACUCACCCCAGGGUACCAUGCAGGCUCAAGUAGCACACAAAAACACGCUGUAAUUAGAACGUCGCCAUCUUGGAUUUAAGGCAGUCGGAGAAACCAGACGGCUCGGAGAGAGUUCGUUUGUGCAAACAGUUAUUUUUUUUUAUUAUCAUUAUUUCUUCGGUAUUAUCAUUCUGUUCAAUCUCUUUUUUUCAUGUUGUCAUUCUCGUAUGAAUGUCAUUAGAAGUGUUUGAAUUAGACAAAGUAUUUACUUUAAAUAUCAGUUUCUUGACUUUGUCAUCUCUGAUAGUGAUAUAACGUCGUGUGACCUCAAUCAAACAUCGGUUUAGACAUCAUUCUAAGAAAAUAACAGUGGAGACAAAAAACCUAGAGAUGCAGCAAUUACAGAUUAAAGUUGAACUCAUCAUCUUGAGUAACCUACAAGAUAUCUCUGUGGACAGCCCCCGGACAGUGGUGGCGCAUCCGAGCUCCUCCAGGUGACUGAUGACUCUGUUGGGAACCGCUGCUUUUCUCAUCUCCUCUGACAACAGUCUACUUUGUUGCGCUUGUGCAAUAAGAAGACAAGUUCAGAUCUUGACACACAAGUGACUGGCGCUUAGGUUGUAACUUCAAAUUGCAACUAAUGCUCCGGCUUUAAUUAAUCAAUCACUGAGACGAUUCUUUUUACAUGACAAUCAAGGCAUUUGGAAAACUGGAAUGGUUAUUUAAUGUGAAAACAAACAUUUAAUUAUUGGCUAAGGUAUUUUAAUUUAUUCAUCGGAGAUCGUUAUCUUACGUGUUUGUAUUUUACGAGCUCUGACCAAAAGAUAUAAAUAAAAAUCCGAGCUUCA